AGUUUGAUAUGAGCUUUAGUAUCUCCCCACUACAGUGCGAGAAAAGUCAGGGCAAAGGAUUGAAAAGAAGUUCACAACAAAAAAGUUUGAACACAAGCAAACCUGAAACAGAUGCAGGGUAGUAGAUCUUAAGGGUGCGUUGCUCACUCCAGGGCCUGCUGCCACCCAGAUGGCUGGCAAACACCAGGACUCCGAACACAACAGGAUUCAGGGAUUCAGACAGGAGUCUUGCUCUACCAAUUAUUAUAGGAUCUUAGAUGCCUUUCCAGUAAAGCUAACAAAAAACAAAACAAAAUAAAACCAUAUCCAAAAUACUAAACAGCUGUCUCCAAGAUCAGAAGGCAUCAGAAAAGACCCUCAAGAGUUGUCUAAUCCCAGAGGAAGAUCUUAAGUGGGGAUGUGCUCACAGCAGAAACCUUGGAAAUUUCAGGGAGUGAAAUUUUAUUGUCAGAACUUUCAAUAAAAGUGUAGCCACAGAUCCUGGGAGCAUUAAAUAAAAAUUACCAACAAGCUGUCUUACCUGUGUGCACUCCACUGAAAGGAAGGGCAAACAUGAGCAAGGAGCUCUUGUACAUCAGUCAAAAUUCUGACAGCUACCCUGUGAAGUUUGACGGGCUGCCAUGUGCUAGACUACCUAAGAUACUCUUAACUGAACCAUAAAAAGACAAAUAAAUUAGUAAUUGUA
rnacentral:lncRNA from 1 species